GUAGUCAUAUGCUUGUCUCAAAGAUUACGCCAUGCAUGUCUAAGUAUAAGCAAUUAUACCGUGAAACUGCGAAUGGCUCAUUAAAUCAGUUAUCGUUUAUUUGAUAGUACCUUACUACUUGGAUAACCGUGGUAAUUCUAGAGCUAAUACAUGCUGAAAACCCCAACUUCGGAAGGGGUGUAUUUAUUAGAUAAAAAACCAAUGCCCUUCGGGGCUCCUUGGUGAUUCAUAAUAACUUCUCAGAUCGCAUGGCCUUGCGCCGGCGGCGGUUCAUUCAAAUUUCUGCCCUAUCAACUUUCGAUGGUAAGGUAUUGGCUUGCCAUGGUUUCAACGGGUAACGGGGAGUUAGGGUUCGAUUCCGGAGAGGGAGCCUGAGAAACGGCUACCACAUCCAAGGAAGGCAGCAGGCGCGCAAAUUACCCAAUCCCGACACGGGGAGGUAGUGACAAUAAAUACUGAUACAGGGCUCUUUUGGGUCUUGUAAUUGGAAUGAGUACAAUUUAAACCUCUUAACGAGGAACAAUUGGAGGGCAAGUCUGGUGCCAGAGCC
rnacentral:rRNA from 1 species